rnacentral:lncRNA from 1 species
GCCUCUGUUAGUGGGGGGAGGUUGCUCAUGUGGCAGGCAGUGCCCCCAGAGCAGCCACCUUGGUCACUUUACAACACAUUUCAGUUCCAUUUUCUUCCUCCUUAAGACUCCCUCUGGAGGUGUGGAUGCCUUAAUGCGCAAACACAUUUGAACACAUUGGUGAUACUUAAGCUGCUGCCACAAUUACAAGUGGAAUUAUGGGCUACCAAAGAAGCAACUGAUGAAAAGCAUGGGCCCUCCUUCCUCAUGACCAAAGCAGUCUUAAUUGGGCUUGGAGUCCCUUUCUCCCAGAAUCUAGAUGGUCUUCAGAUUCGGAGCACCCUCCCCUCCCCAGUUCCCAGUGUUGCCAGUCUCUAAGUCAGCAGGGCAGUGAUGUCCCAUUUGACUCUGCUUUCUGUGUGCACUGUCGCCAGCUUGCAUCCUUACAAGCAGACUUCCCGGCCUGGACAUGUCAGCAGUUGGAACGGUACUACCCACUGAGACAGUGUCCUCUCCCCUGCUUCACCUCAGUCCUCAGAUUCUCAGUUCAGAAGAGCCAGUUCUACUGACCUGGGGGUUGGAUCAUUAGAAGAAAAGGAGGGUCUGUUCUUAUAGAAAGGGAAAUAGAACUGGCUGGUUCUGUUUUCAAGGAUUAGAGAUAGGAGGGACAGAGCAGUGACAGUGUUGUUUGCCCUGCUCCUCAUGCUAGUGAAGUUCUGAACAUGGGACUGUAUGUCAAUAGCACAAGCCUCUAAGACCCUCCUGUCUUUUUUGGGUCAGAGCCCCAGACCAUUGCAUCACAGUCAUUCGGCAAGAGGGUCCUUGCGGCAGACUUCUGUUCAUUGCAGAGUGGGACUCACCCCUGAAGAACACUGGUCGAAAUAUUAUACAACUGCAACCCUUUUCUACUUGAGACAUUGAAGUUCAGCUCAGGAGACCUGAAGAUGGGGACUGGUGGGAAAGGACCAGCAGACAUGUAGGACUUCUUUACAUGUGUUCAGUCCCCCACAGUAGCUAAGCACAGAGACUGGCUUUGCUCUCUGUCUCGUGUGUCUUCCUGUAAACUGGGACUCUAAUGGGAUGGUAACACCACGAUUCCCCUGGUUUGGUGGCCUAAACAGUGAUUUUUUUAAAAUGUCCCCUUUUCUGGAUCCUUUGUACACAUAAACUCAUUCCAUGGAUGGCUGCCUUAUAAUUUUGUGUCUUUCCACUUUAAUUGUGAAUGGUUUAAAAUCGCUGUUUUCUGAUUUGUUUUAUGAUAUUAAAUUUUUAUUAGCGC